ACUUGUUCACUGUGUAUCAUCGCCACCGGAAAUUGGGUACUAACGAAGCGGAGAGAAAUGGAAAAAAAAAGUAAACAAGGGAAAAAAUAAUAAAAGACUGUUGCUAAGGCUGUUUGGCCUAAACUUAAAUGAGUAGAUGGAGGGGUAGUGAAAAGGAGUGUAUUCGUCCAAAUUUUCAUUGUUACAGUAGUACAUUUUCAUGAUUACUAUGUAUAAUAUUUCUCAGUAAAUUUUAAUGUGAUAUUGUGCCAAUUAAAAUUAUAUAAAUAAUACAAGUAAGACUUGCAUUUGCCUUAAAAGAUAUAGCAGUACGUGAUUAUUUGUUUUCAAACACACCUUCUCUGUUUUGAAACUUAUAAAGGUAUGGAUCUAGGCCUAUCUGUUUGGUUGAAUAUAAAUGUGAAUUCAUAGAGUUUCAAAAUCAACAGUAAGCCCUAUUUUUGUGUGUGUGUAAAUAAUCUAAUCUUUAGAUAGAUGCUAAAAUUAAAAUCAUUUUUCUUAAUACGAAGAAAAAAGUGCAACUUAAGCACGCCUGAAUGUAAAAAGGUGUACCCGACUUAUUCGUUCACGAUAAGAAUUUACAGAUUUCGGUAUUUUAACAAAACUGUUUACGAGGGCAAAUAAAUAAAUGAAUGCUAUCAAAUCAACAUUUAAAUUUACGUGAAUUUUUCCAAAAGAAUUUGUGAGUAUGCACCAUCAGGAUUCAAAAAUAUUUCAACCUGUCCUUAUUAGAUGUUAUUUCAUUAUAAUUCUUUAAACUUACAAGUCGGAGAUGCUAGCUUUUGUGAAUUGUAUUAAUAAGUAUAUAAUAUUAAGAUGACAACCAAAAAAACUUCAUACAAGGUCAUCUUUAUUCUCAAGUAGAAAGUUUAUAUAAAUAGUUUAUGCCGUAGCCACAGCCGGAUUUGUAUCCCUUGUAUCGGAUUCUUCUUUCAUUCUUUCCAAAAAUGAUUAAUCUAAGGUUAAUAUUUUUUUUUAAUUUAAACAGUGUUAGCCACCGAGCUUGUUCAUUUCUUACUAUAUAGAGAUGAAGUCUUUUUUUAGAAAAUUAAUGUUCUUUAUUCUAAUAUAUUGGCUGUAUCUGCCUUUUACAAAUAAGACAAUAACAUUAAUUGAAAAAGGAGACGUGGAAUGGUUUUCACUGAGAGGACUUUCAAACAAAGUCCAAAUGAAAUAGAUUUGACCAACUAUUGGUUACUAUACACUUCACAAUGAACAAAACCCAUACCGUAUCAAAAUUGCCUGAUUUAUGACAAAAUCAUAAACAAAUAUGUCAGGCAGCAACUUACGACAGCCGCUAUAUUACAUGUUCCUGACCAGGGACAGACACAUAUAUAUUGAGGCGGGCUUAAACAUGUUUGUGAGCACUCAAACCUCCCUUAACAUGGUGCCGUGAUGUAGCAAUACAACAUUUUUUUUGGCAGAGAAUGAUAAUUCAUUUAUAUUUCAUUUUAUCUGAAAAUUGAAAGAGAAUUCAUUCACUUAAUGGUUCUAAAUAUUCAAUGCGGAAAAAUUCUCCUGCCAUUACCUCCUUCCUUCCCUCCACCCACAACACAUCCCCGAAAUGUUCAUCACUUAUAUGCAAAUUCUGACUAAUGUUGUAUGGUUAAACAUUUGGUUGAGGCAAUCUAAAGUUUGAGAACAGAAACGACAGCUUUAGCUUUUUUUCAUUUAUAAAAGGGCAUAACUCAAGAACGGUAACAGUGACGCUACCCAAUUUAUAACUUGAUCUGUGUUUUGUGGUGAUGAGCAUUUCGUAGGGUAACAUUUAACGCUACGUCAGGGCAGAACAACAGGUCAGUAAAACAGUGACAUGCCUUUCCGAAAGUUACAACAUUUGCCAGCUUUUGUAUAUGCCGUAUUCAUAUUGUAUACAUCAGGUAUGUAAAAGAUGUAAUAGGACUGUGUUCAAGCCUUAUAUUGUGUAUACAUCUUAAAUGGUGUCAAGCGAAUUGUAUUUUUAUCAAAUGCAUAACUAGAUAUAUGAACCUAAUACUUUAUUUUCUUUAAAAAGACGGCAAAUAAAUAUUUUGAAAUUAGCAAGUUGCCAUACAGUUGAAAACAAGUUGCCAUACAGUAAAUUUGUCAACAUGAGCAAGUUGCCGUACCCUAGACUUUAUUUUUUAUGGUCUAUAUUCUUUAAAAACGUUCGUUUUGACAACAAAUUUCAGUAAAUAUGAUGCCACACUAUGAUAAUCUAAAAACGUGUCUGGAAAAAUAAUGAAAAACAGUUGAAUAUCUUGCCAAUGGGGCGACAGAGGACGAUCUACCUCGAAAUUUUCAGGUACUAAGUGGCAAGUUCUUGAGUAUAACACAAAAGCUUGUCUUAAUUUUGUACUUAUCGGCCUAAUAAUUAAAAGAAUUAUAUAUCAGAAAAUCAUUUCUUAAGCGGUACCCUAGUCAAAUCAGUAGAAAUG